CUGCGAGCCAUCACCGCAUGCAUGCACCAUUCAUGAGUAAUUUAUGUACUUCCGGCGAAUUUCUGUAUAUGGUAAGUCGUGCGAGGAAGAACGGUACGGCAGUGUCUGUUAAAAUUAACUCCUGUAGAAUUAUGUAGUAGCAGCACAGAGGUUUAAGAAACUGAACACCGUUUAGCGGAAGAUUCGCCAUUAUUCUGGCGUUCUACGCACAGUGGACUUUUACAUAGAUGGUUAUAUCCACGGCCGUAUAGCGCUGUUUACACAUUUGUGUGGAUAUUGUGUAACACCAAUUUGGGGUCCAGUGUACGUAGGUGCUAGUAUGUAUUUGCCCAUUUCCUAGAACACAUGCCGGAAUAAUGUUGCACAUGCGGAAAUGGGACCGCAGAAACCGAGGCUAUGAGGAGUAGUUAAUUACAUUCUAGCCAGGAAAGUUUGAUCCGUUUUACUCUUUACUCAUUAUUCUUUAGAACGAACGGCGUCCUGUUGCGAAAAGUACGGUGUGGUAAAAUCACUGCUGUCCCAGUUGGAUGCUGAAGGUGCUCUCUCCGUGUUACUUUCCUCGGAAACGUCAGAUGAAUGAUCAGAAAAACCUCGCCGUUACUUCCGGUUGGUACUGUUGGCUGGGCAUUUGGGCGCAUCGCACGCAUACUGUCCAUGGUCAGACCAAAUUCUUUGACAUCACAAACCAACAUGGAGUCCCUCAUCGUGCGUUGAUACGGGUCUUAACUGUGGGAUAAAAUAGGGCGGAGAUAUCAAGCAGUUGCUUUUUUCGAUGCGGUCGGAAUUUAACUUUCAAAGUGAUUAGCGAACGUCAGUAAUGGCUAA